GGGAGAGGCGGGGCCCUUCCACGCUCAGGGCGGGCGGGAAUCCAAAUUUCUCCUUUGCCCUUCUGCACAACGAGACGUUGGGCCCAUGACUCAACAUUUCCUCUAAUGAUAGUGAUUCAGUGGAGAAAUUCAAACUGAGAGGUGUUGUCUAAAAUAACAAGAAACUCUUCUUCUCCCCAAAUAAUUUCCAGGAUAAUGUUGCUGCCUCCAAAAAAGAAUACCCUGAUACAUGUGCUGUAUGAUGUAUGAUACAAAGAUAUGGA